rnacentral:rRNA from 1 species
GAUGAACGCUGGCGGCGUGCCUAGUACAUGCAAGUCGAGCGAAUGGAUUAAGAGCUUGCUCUUAUGAAGUUAGCGGCGGACGGGUGAGUAACACGUGGGUAACCUGCCCAUAAGACUGGGAUAACUCCGGGAAACCGGGGCUAAUACCGGAUAACAUUUUGAACCGCAUGGUUCGAAAUUGAAAGGCGGCUUCGGCUGUCACUUAUGGAUGGACCCGCGUCGCAUUAGCUAGUUGGUGAGGUAACGGCUCACCAAGGCAACGAUGCGUAGCCGACCUGGGAGGGUGACCGGCCACAAGGGGACUGGGACACGGCCCAGACUCCUACGGGAGGCAGAGGUAGGGAAUCUUCCGCAAUGGGCGAAAGUCUGACGGGGCAACGCCGCGUGAGUGAUGAAGGCUUUCGGGUCGUAAAACUCUGUUGUUAGGGAAGAACAAGUGCUAGUUGAAUAAGCUGGCACCUUGACGGUACCUAACCAGAAAGCCACGGCUAACUACGUGCCAGCCGCCGCAGUAA